AUGCUCCAAAUGGCAUUCCAUAUUCUAGCACUGGGUCUACUGGAAGAGAAGCAGCAGCUUCAAAAGGCUCCCGAAGAAGAAGUAACAUUUGACUUUUACCAUAAGGCUUCAAGAUUAGGAAGUUCAGCCACGAAUGCUCAGAAUAUACAAAUGCUUUUGGAAAAACUCAAAGGAAUUCCCCAGUUAGAAGGCCAGAAGGACAUGAUAACAUGGAUACUCCAGAUGUUUGACAUAGUGAAGCGAUUAAGAGAAAAAUCUUGUUUAAUUGUGGCAACUACUUCAGGAUUGGACUCUAUUAAGAAUGAUGAGAUUACUCAUGAUAAAGAAAAAGCAGAACGAAAAAGAAAAGCUGAAGCUGCUAGGCUACAUCGCCAGAAAAUCAUGGCUCAAAUGUCUGCCUUACAGAAGAACUUCAUUGAAACUCACAAACUCAUGUAUGACACCACAUCAGAAAUGACUGGGAAAGAAGACUCCAUUAUGGAGGAAGAGAGCACCCCAGCAAUCAGUGACUACUGUAAAAUUGCUUUGGGUCCUAAACGGGGUCCAACCAUUACUGAAAAGGAGGUGCUGACAUGCAUCCUCUGCCAGGAAGAACAAGAGGUGAAAAUAGAAAAUAAUGCCAUGGUAUUAGCAGCCUGUGUCCAGAAAUCUACUGCUUUAACCCAGCACAGGGGAAAGCCUGUAGAACUCUCAGGAGAAACCCUAGACCCACUUUUCAUGGAUCCAGACUUGGCAUAUGGAACUUAUACAGGAAGCUGUGGUCAUGUAAUGCAUGCAGUGUGCUGGCAGAAGUACUUUGAAGCUGUGCAGCUAAGCUCUCAGCAGCGUGUGCAUGUGGACCUGUUUGACUUGGAGAGUGGAGAGUACCUCUGCCCUCUGUGCAAGUCGCUGUGCAACACUGUGAUCCCCAUUAUCCCUCUGCAACCACAAAAGAUAAACAGUGAGAAUGCAGAAGCUCUUGCUCAACUUUUGACCUUGGCACGGUGGAUACAGACUGUUCUGGCCAGAAUAUCAGGUUAUAAAAUGAAACAUACCAAAGGAGAAAACCCAGUCAUUCCUAUAUUGUUUGAUCAAGGGAUGGGAGAUUCUACUUUGGAGUUUCAUUCUAUCCUGAGUUUUGGAGUUCAGUCUUUGAUCAAGUAUUCUAAUAGUAUCAAGGAAAUGGUCAUUCUCUUUGCCACAACAGUGUAUAGAAUUGGACUCAAAGUGCCUCCUGAUGAAAUGGAUCCUCGUGUCCCCAUGAUGACGUGGAGCACAUGUGCUUUCACUAUCCAGGCAAUUGAAAACCUAUUGGGAGAUGAAGGAAAGCCUCUUUUUGGAGCACUUCAAAAUAGGCAGCACAAUGGCCUGAAAGCAUUAAUGCAGUUUGCAGUUGCACAGAGAGUUACCUGUUCUCAGGUCCUGAUACAGAAACAUCUGGUUCGUCUCCUAUCAGUUGUGCUUCCUAACCUAAGAUCAGAAGAUACACCAUGCCUUUUGUCUAUAGAUCUGUUUCAUGUUUUGGUAGGUGCUGUGCUGGCAUUCCCAGCUUUGUAUUGGGAUGACACUGUCAAUCUGCAGCCUUCAUCAAUUAGUUCUGCCUAUAACCAGCUUUAUCUCUUCCAUCUGAUCACCAUGGCACACAUACUUCAGAUACUUCUUACAAUAGACACAGGACUCUCCCUUUCUCAGGUUGAAGAAGACAGUGAAGAGGCUCGUUGUGCAUCUUCUUUCUUUGAGGAAAUUUCCCAGUAUUUCAGCAGCUGCGCUGGGCACGAUGCUCCUGGCUGGUACUUGUGGGCUGCCUUGAAGAACGGUAUCAUCCCUUACCUUCGUUGUGCUGCCUUGUUCUUCCACUAUGUUCUGGGGGUGACUCCACCUGAAGAACUGUUUACCAAUUCUGCAGAAGGAGAAUACAAUGCAUUAUGUAGCUAUCUAUCUUUACCCACAAAUUUGUUCCUGCUUUUCCAGGAAUACUGGGAUACUGUAAAGCCCUUGCUCCACAGGUGGUGUACAGAUCCUGCCUUACUGAACUGCCUACAGCAGAAGAGCAGCUUGGUGAGGUACCCUAGAAAAAGAAAUAGUUUGAUAGAGCUUCCUGAUGACUACAGCUGCCUCCUGAAUCAAGCUUCUCAUUUCCGGUGUCCACGGUCUGCAGACGAUGAGCGCAAGCAUCCUGUUCUCUGUCUUUUCUGUGGGGCCAUACUGUGUUCUCAGAACAUUUGCUGCCAAGAAGUGGUAAAUGGGGAAGAGAUUGGAGCUUGUAUUUUCCAUGCACUUCACUGUGGAGCAGGAGUCUGCAUUUUCCUCAAAAUCAGAGAAUGCAGAGUGGUCCUGGUUGAAGGUAAAGCCAGAGGCUGUGCGUAUCCAGCUCCUUACUUGGAUGAAUAUGGAGAAACUGACCCUGGGCUGAAGAGGGGCAACCCCCUUCAUUUAUCCCGUGAGCGGUAUCGGAAGCUCCACUUGGUCUGGCAACAGCACUGCAUUAUAGAAGAGAUUGCUAGGAGCCAGGAAACUAACCAGAUGCUAUUUGGAUUCAACUGGCAAUUACUGUGAGUUUCUGCUCUGCCUCAAGACAAUCAUGAAUGACAACAGUAAUAAAGACUGAUUUAAAAUCAUGGAUAACGUUCUGAGGGCUGAGGAAAUAUUGGAGAGUUUUGCUCCGUGUUUACAUUCACUAUUGCAGUAUUGUUUUCGAUCAGCAAACAUCCUGUGAGGGAAAAAGGACAUUGAUUAAUAUACUUUAUGCUCUGGAACACUAAAGAAAUGUUGUCAAAACAAGUUUCUGCUUCUGAUAAUGUUUCCAAAAAUGUCAUUCUCUUUUGUAAUCUGUCUGCCUGGCACAUGAAGUCAUACCAAGCAGUUGUGCACAUUUUCAUGUGUUGAUUAACUUUUCUGAGGUUUUAUAUUUGUUUUCCCAAAUGAAGCUCAGCCAACAUCAUAUCACUGACGAGAUUCUGACUGAGUACCUGUAAUGGUCUUCCUUACCGCUAAAGAGGAAUUUCAGAAACCAUGCAUUACAUUUCAAUUGAGAACAAUUUCAAAGAAGUAAAACUUCACAUGCUGGGUGGGCAUGGUGGUGUACUCCUAUAGUCCCAGCACUCUUGAGGCUGAAGAGGAGUAUCGCUUCAAGUUCAAGGCCAGCCUGAACAACAUAGUGAGACUUUGCCUAAAAUAAAUAAACAAACUUCAUUAUUUCUACUUUAAGUAAAUAUCAGAAAUCAAUGUGUGUCUCUCAAAGGACAGAGUGGAAGUGCUGCCAUUGUGGAUAAGGGUCUCUCCCACUGCAGGCCUAAAGAAGAAUUAAGAUUAUAUAUUAUAUAUUCAUUACUCAUUUCUCAUAGUAUAAAGAACCUGUGGUCCGGGGCUGGGGAUUUAGCUCAGCGGCAUAAGCGCCUGCUUUGCAAGCAGGCAGUCGUGAGUUCGAUCCCCAGUACCGAUAAAAAAAAAGAACCUGUGGUCCUCACCUCUUGACUGCAACUGGCUUGUUGAGUGUAAAAUUAUACUCUGUACUUUCCAAAGACAAUUUCUGCAGUGAGAUCCCUUAUCUCUUGAUGGUAGUACUGCACCAUCCCAUUUGACUCUCAGAAACCUGUUGCAAUUCUGAUAUAAUGUUUGUAGAAUGAGAUCUGAAAAUUCCCCCUGAUGAAUGAAACAUAGCAACUGUAAAUUAGAACAAUCAGAUUUAAGCCCAUUCUGCCACUUGGAAAGUCUUUGUAAAAGACAGGUCCUUGAUUUGUUAUCUAUAGGCAGCCUUUUCAUAAGUGGUUUUAAAACUAGUAUAAAAAGCCAAAAAAAUCCUUGUGAUCAAUAGUCUGUGUCCUGUUACCAUAUGCUCUGGUAUAGCCAUCUUGUUUAUAAAUAAUAAAGCUCUACCAAAUCUGUGCAUAGACUUCUUGGUUCUUGGCUUUAAUGUAUUAUAUCAAGAAAUUAUGAUCUAAAACAGCAGGCAGAAAAUAAACCUCCCACUGUAGCCUCUGUUGUCUGAGCAAAUGUGAGCAGUUUGGAAGAUGCUGCUUGUGGCUACUACUACUACCUUGUACAUGUGCAAAUGUUUUCUUUUUGCUCAGCAAAGGCAAGUGGGGGAAAAUGCAUUUGCAAAAUGAUCAGUGAUGCACAAAUAAGGUUAGAUUUUUUGGGUUUUUUAUGUAAAGAAAAUAGAUUUUGCAGUAAGGAUCUCAUGAACUGGCAUCAGAAUCAUAGUCACAGUUUGUUCUUUGUAAUUACUAACCACAGGGUAUCAGGAAAUAGAUGCAACUUGAGUGAACAAUUAACAGAUGAGGAUCAGAAAAUUUAGUAUUGUUUGUCAGACCAGCCAGUAUGACAAAAAUAUUUCAACAUUUCUCUUUGUUUCUCACAUAAUUUUGUUAGAUUAAUUGUUUAGAUACAAAGUCUGGAGUAGAAUAUGCAACAGAAUAUGAUGCUGCCUUCUGCCCUCAUGGUUGGGCCCCAUUUAGCAACGAUAAAUUGACUUCUAGUCUUUUUAUAUGCAUUUUAUAUAAUCCUGGAAUUAAGCUAUCAAGCUGUCAGACUAUCUGUCACUGGCCAAAAAACUCAUUUCACACCGAGAAUGAAAUCCUGUACUGCUGAUGAAUGAGUAUCCCAGUGCAUCCCCAGCCCCAGGGAUUUCCAGUGAUAUUCAAAUGUCCUAGUGGUCUGCCUUCAUCACUGCAAAAACUUUAAUUAUGCCUAUGAAAUUUACUUACAAACAAGCAGCCAAGUCACUUUUUCUCCUUUGAUGUGUUUGUGAAGGAACUGGUUCAAAAGGAUGGCUCCAAGUUUGUGUUUUUCUAAUUUCUGGUGAGGGCUGGCAGGACUUUUAAUGAUUCGGUAAAGAGAAACAUUUAUCUGCAUAAUUAAUUUAUUAUGUUGGUGUAUAGCCUGUGAGUUCACCUUUUAGUGGUCACUUGUCAUUUCAUAACAACUAUGCAUUUUUGUUCACUGUGAUCUAUAUUUUGUGACUGCAACAUGUUUGUACCACUGACUCAAAUUCCAUCCAUGAUGAAGCUAUACAAAUAAUGCAUAUAUUGAUAUCUUUUAUUGCAAAAAUGUAAAUUUAAAACUUGUAUAAUGUACUUGUGCUUUUUGAAAUAAAAUAUCUUAUAUGUAUAUAUUUAAAAAGACAAAACAGACCUCAUAUGUUUAGGGAUUUAGAUUAGAGGUACUAAAAAUCUAUAUCUGCAAAGGAACUCUUUAAAAAAGUUUUGUCAACCAGGCAGUUUUUUAAAGAUAAUUUUAGUGUAAAUGGUCCUCAAGCUUUUUGACCAUAUACUCUACCAGUAAACAGUAUUAAACUUACAUACCAA
rnacentral:lncRNA from 1 species